rnacentral:rRNA from 1 species
CCGGCGACCGGCGCACGGGUGAGUAACACGUAUGCGACCUGCCCCCCGCAGGGGGAUAACCGGGAGAAAUCCCGACUGAUACCGCGUAACGCCGCGGACCUGCAUGGGUCUGCGGCCAAAGGAAGCGAUUCCGGCGGGGGAUGGGCAUGCGGCGCAUUAGCUAGUCGGCGGGGUAACGGCCCACCGAGGCGACGAUGCGUAGGGGUUCUGAGAGGAAGGUCCCCCACACUGGUACUGAGACACGGACCAGACUCCUACGGAAGGCAGCAG